AUUGAACGCUGGCGGCAGGCUUAACACAUGCAAGUCGAGCGGAUGAAGGGAGCUUGCUCCUGGAUUCAGCGGCGGACGGGUGAGUAAUGCCUAGGAAUAUGCUUGGCAGUGGUGGAUAACGUCCGGAAACGGGCGCUAAUACCGCAUACGUCCUGAGGGAGCAAGUGGGGGAUCUUCGGACCUCACGCUAUCAGAUGAGUCUAGGUCGGAUUAGCUAGUUGGUGGGGUAAAGGCCUACCAAGGCGACGAUCCGCAACUGGUCUGAGAGGAGGGUCAGCCACACUAGAACUGAGACACGGACCAGACGCCUGCGGGAGGCAGCAGUGGGGAAUAUUGGACAGUGGGCGAAAGCAUGAUCCAGCCAUGCCGCGUGUGUGAAGGAAAUCUUCGGAUUGUAAAGCACUUUAAGGUGGGAGGAACGGCAGUAAGUUAAUACCUUGCUGUAUUGACGUUACCAACAGAAUAAGCACCGGCUAACUUCGUG
rnacentral:rRNA from 1 species